rnacentral:rRNA from 1 species
AGAGAGAGACAUGCGCGCAUAUCAAUAAGCGGAGGAAAAGAAACUAACUAAGGAUUCCCUCAGUAACGGCGAGUGAAGCGGGAAGAGCUCAAAUUUGAAAUCUUCAAGGGUUCUACCUUUACGAAUUGUAGUUUAAAGAAGUGUUUUCUGUUGAGGUUUUGGUAAAAGUUCUUUGGAAUAGGACAUCAUAGAGGGUGAGAAUCCCGUAUUUGACCAUUAUUUCCAGCUUUGUGAUACACUUUCAAAGAGUCGGAUUGUUUGGGAAUGCAGUCCAAAAUGGGUGGUAAAUUUCAUCUAAAGCUAAAUAUUGGCGAGAGACCGAUAGCGAACAAGUACCGUGAGGGAAAGAUGAAAAGAACUUUGAAAAGAGAGUUAAACAGUAUGUGAAAUUGUCAAAAGGGAAGCGUUUGACACCAGUGUUGUUUUCUCGAAAAUCAAUUAAAAAAGGCAGGAUUUUGUGUUGUAUUGACUUUAUCAGCUUUCUGCACUCUUUUCUUGUCUUUUUUAAUGCACUUUUCGUUUAACAAGUCAACAUCAAUUUCUUUUGUUGUAAAAGGGUCAUUGGAAGGUGGCUUUCUUUUCGGAGAAAGUGUUUAUAGCCUUUGGCCUCUGCAAUCGGAGAGAUUGAGGUCUGCAGCGUAGAUCCUUCGGGGUUAGAUACAUUUGUGCUAAGUUAUAGCCUUUCAUAGGACAACUUGUUGACUAUGAUCAGUCAUGUAGCUUACUCGCUUAUGCUAUUUUACCUACGCUUAGGAUGUUGAUGUGAUACUGCGAGCA